rnacentral:lncRNA from 1 species
UAUAUAUAUAUAUAUAUAUAAACAUCAUACAAAUUCAAAAUUAAAUAUACAAAUUUAUACAAAAAUUUAAAUAGAAACAUUUUGGGUGACAUUGUUAUUACUAAAUAGAUUUUUUUAAAUACAAUACUCUAAUUGGAAGUGGUGAUAAUAUGAUGCUAUAAUAGAUAAAUUAAUAAAAGUACAUUGCUAUUUUCUCAUUUACACAUCACCACAAGUAUAAUAACCUUGUCUAAUAAUUACGUGUGUUUCCAAAUCACUAAGGAAGCUCAUUGAAAACAUCCCUAUACAACCCAUAAAUCAUUGCAGCCAUGUGACGUUCAUUCAACAAAAUGGAGGUAUUUUCUUGCCUUCACAAAGUUUAUUUCUUCCCUGUAACGGGAAAAAUAUUCAUUCACCAAAAACUAAAAACAAGGCACCAAAAGUUAAAUUCAACACUAAACGCAUGAGAAAAUUCCACAAAAUUAAACAAUAAGCAUAAGAACAUCUCAUGUCAUAUGCAAAUUUGUAACCAAACAUCAUUACAAUGGACUAUUUAUUGAGAGUUAUAUUACCAUAAACCAAUUGUUCAUUAAAUUUCUUGCAACUAUGAAGUAAUUUUGUAUUCUUUGAUCAAAAACUUUAACUUGCAGCUAUAAUGGAAUCAAGCUUCUAGCAAGCAUGUGCAUAAGAAUAGAGUAGAACAAACAAGGAAUCACAAUGGUGAUGUCGCUGUUGAGCUACAUUAUAGUGAUAUUAGUCAAAAGGGGAGCCUGUCAUCAUUUGUAAUGUUCUUGAAACCAUCGAUUCAAAACAUCACAGAAAACCCAAAAUAUGAACAUUUAAAAACUUUGAUUAUUAAAUCGAUUUUAGAUUUCACAUCAGGAGAACAAUUCGAUUUCAAGAAUGUGGAGUGAUUUUAGAAACUUUAUACCUGACCAAUGAAGAGGAUCAGAGAUCGCCUAGUGGAGACCAACGUUGUCGAGGGCGAAACCAGCGCUGGAGAGGGCGGCGCUUUUGAGUGUGGCACCAGCGAUGUCAGAGCUUGGCGGAGACCGAUUUCGGUUUUUGAUUUUCAACUUUAGGGCAUAGAAAAUGUUGGGAAGGCUGCUGAGACGAAACAAACGGGGAGAGGAGGCUGCUGGGACGUUGACGAUCGGUUGGGCGGUGGCGUCGGCGACGGGAACCAGGCGAAGGGAAGCAGACGCGAACCGGGGAAGAAAACACAGGAGGAAAACACUAGAAUAGGAGAAGAGGAUUCGGGUUAUGUUCGACCGUGUGGUUCAGGGCAAAACAAGAUGUACAUUUUUUUUUAAUUCAGACUUUGUUCCCUAUCUGAAAAAUUAAGAGGUCUUUUUGAUUUGAAGAGGUAAAAAUUAAG